CACCCCCUAUACGUCAUCAUUGAGUAAACUUUGACCCGGAACCUCACAGUCAGCAGACACUUCCUGGGAGGGAAGGUCUGCUGCUGAUUGAGUGGAAUGUGUCUGCUGGCUGUGAGGUUCCGGGUCAAAGUUUACUCAAUGAUGACGUAUAGGGGGCG
rnacentral:miRNA from 1 species